GACGAACGCUGGCGGCGUGCUUAACACAUGCAAGUCGAACGGUGAAGCGCCUUCCUUUUUGGUGGGUGUGGAUGAGUGGCGAACGGGUGAGUAACACGUGAGUAACCUGCCCCCUUCUUCUGGAUAACCGCAUGAAAGUGUGGCUAAUACGGGAUAUUCUGGGUCUGUCGCAUGAUGGGUCUGGGAAAGAUAUUGUUUCGGUGGGGGAUGGGCUCGCGGCCUAUCAGCUUGUUGGUGGGGUGAUGGCCUGCCAAGGCGGUGACGGGUAGCCGGCCUGAGAGGGUGGACGGUCACACUGGGACUGAGACACGGCCCAGACUCCUACGGGAGGCAGCAGUGGGGAAUAUUGCACAAUGGGCGCAAGCCUGAUGCAGCGACGCCGCGUGAGGGAUGGAGGCCUUCGGGUUGUGAACCUCUUUCGCCAGUGAAGCAGGCCUGCCUCGUUUGUGGGUGGGUUGACGGUAGCUGGAUAAGAAGCGCCGGCUAACUACGUG
rnacentral:rRNA from 1 species